CGGCCUUUGUUGGCGCCAUGGUGAAGUACGAGCCCUUGACCUACAACCGCACGUAUGUGUCCCCAGGCUGGGUGCACGUGCUGGGCUGGAUGAUGGCCUUCCUCUCGAUUCUAAUGGCUCCUGUGGUGGCUCUGUUCUUGCUGGGGACUAGGAAAGGAAAUCUUGAACAGACACAGAGUCAGUUUCAGGAAAUGACAUGAAGAGGUCGAUGGUGUGGUCUUGAAGGACCGAAGAGAACAUUAAAUGAGAGAAAGUUAUGGGAGGGGCACCAAUGUCACUGUUUUGAGACACUAGAUGCCUGUAACCUCUAUCCCUCUCUAUGUUUAAAAAAAAAAAAAAUGGAAUUAAUGCUCUGGUGUCAUUGAUUAAUGUUUAAUGAAAACCCCAACUUACAUGUAAAAUGACACACAAACACUCUACAAAAGGCUGCGAGCACUCCCUCAUGCCCUACACAAGAAGCUGCAAGGGUUCAUGUCAACAGUGUAGGACCGGCAGCUAGUGAAUGAUUAACGACCAUGCAUGAUCUCACUCAGACCAGACGUGUGACAUGUGCUGUUAACCACAAAAAGCACAGAAAGCUAACCAAGUUGUCAUGCUUAAACAGAAAGGCCUUUAUAAAGAUCAGAGGGAGGUAAAAAAGGAAAUCUUGUACCAUAUGUACCAUGGUACAGGUAAGCAGGACUUCCAGUCAAGUAACAUGUGACAUACCAGUAUUGAACUGUAAAAGUUUCUGUUAGGUAAAAUUGUUUUGAUUUUUUGCAUUGAUUUAGCAGCAUUGACAAUGUGACAACUGCUUAUGACUGAACUUAGUUCAACAUUUGUUAAAUAUUUGUUAAAUGUUGUUGUUGUUACAUUUUGUAACAUACAUAUUGUUAAUGAUCUGACUCAGAUCAUUCUCCAUCUUUGCUCUUUUUCAAAACACACACACACCAGAAAGGUGCAUUAACCACUUACAUGAAUAGAGUGCUCGUUUGGGCACUCGUAAGAUUCUCCUCAUCUUUUCGUAGCUGCAUUUCCCCUUGCAGACACCCAGCAGCACCCACAUGCCUACACGUGCCUGCUCAUGCCAUCUGUGUCUCCCUCACACUUCCCUCACUGCUGUUCCUGUUGUAAGUGUGAUCCAGCACGGCCAUCUCAUGACCUCAAUCACACUCAAAUAUAGAGUUGGCUCAUCAGGACUACUGUGUUGGGGUGCAUGAAUGUCAGUCACAUGUCGGAGGUUUCCUUCUGGUUUUUCUGUGCUGUGUUCCCCCCUGUGUCUCCAGGUGGUCUACUUCACAGCCACGUUCCCCUACGUGAUGCUGCUGUUGCUGCUCAUCAGAGGACUGACUCUACCUGGAGCUCUGCAGGGGGUCACCUACUACCUGUACCCAGAGCCCUCAAAGCUGUUAGAGCCUCAGUGGGCUGUGUCUGGCUGACGGUGUUGAACAGUGGGACCAGUUUUGUGGCUGGAUUUGCAGUUUUCUCAGAGUUGGGCUUGAUGGCUCAUGAUUUAGGUCCUAUUUUAGGAGCUCCCAUUUAGAAAGUGGCAGAAUCAGGUCUUGGUUUUCAUCACGUCCCUUCAGGCUGUGGCCAUGAUGCCUUUUCCACAGCUGUGGGCGGUCUGCUUCUUCAUCAUGCUCCUUCUCCCUGGCCUGGAUACACAGACGGCCUUCGUUGGCUCCAUGGUGAAGUACGAACCCCUGACCUACAACCGCACGUAUGUGUCCCCAGGCUGGGUGCACGUGCUGGGCUGGGUGAUGGCCUUCCUCUCGAUUCUAAUGGCUCCUGUGGUGGCUCUGUUCUUGCUGGGGACUAGGAAAGGAAAUCUUAAGCAGUGCUAGGUUCACUGGUGUCGCCCAGCAGAUGAUUUACCUUUGACAAGGAAACAGAGGAGUCAGCUUCGAAUAUGACAUCAAAUGACGAGCCUGACGUUCUGGUCAUGGAAAAUAGAGAGGAGCACUGACGAAAAAUAGUAUUUAAAAAUGCACCCCAGUCCCGUGUUUUUGAAUAUUUAUGUUGACUAGACUCGAGCAUACACUGGGGAGUGAUGUGUACAUUACAAGUGCUCUUUAGUUUUUGUUGUCCAAGACCGAAACCUUUUGUAGAACUUCUAUGACUAAAGCUAAGACUAAAAUACUUUUUGUUAUUAGACAGGACAUUCUGUUUAUUUUUUGUGUUUCGGAAGUGUGUUGCAUUUGUUCAUAUUUUAGGGCCUUUUUUUAAGAUUGCAAUAUUAUUACAACUACUGUUAAGAAAUGCAACCUUUAGGAAUCCAAAUGAUUUAGAAUGUUAUUUUUACACUUUAAUGAUAAGAUUAUAAAUUUUCAUCAAUGCAGUUAAUGAUAGUUCAUUUUUAAUAACUGUUAAAAUCACUAAAAUAAAUGUGGUGGUAAAGUAAAGGCCACAUCUGCUCAAGCACAUUUGGUCAUGUGUUCAUGUAAAGCACUUGUUACGACCCUGGCGGGUCUAGGCCCCGCCCCAUGAGAUUUGCAUGCCUGUUCUCUAUCUGUCGUUACAACAGGUAAUUGGAUCCAGGUGUAUGGGUGAUUGUUUGGGCUACAAAAGCCCUGGUCAGAUGGAAGUCGGGAGAGCGUUGGAUUGGUCGUUGGAUUUGGAUAGUGAAUUGGAUUUGGGAUCGUCGUUUGUUUAUAUUACCAUUUACCUGACUUUACAUUACAUCUUUUGUUUCUCUUCACAACACUGAUCUUCCCCACACGUUUGCUAUAAUUAUUAGAUAACUAUAUAAACUUGUAAAUCAUUAAUAAAUAUAUUAUUAUUAUUAUAAAUAUCCUAAA
ensembl:lncRNA